CUCUACUGAAUUAUAAUAAUAUUGAAGUAGGCAGCACGCCGGAUGCUUCCGGACCGACCUAGAGGUCACCGGCACCGUCGCUCAAAAAGGAAUUAUUCUCUUAUCAACUAGGGUUGACCUAUUAAAACGAGAGAAGAGGAACGAUAACUCGCUCUGGCUCAGGUCUCAAUCACAUCGACAGAUAAAUGAUAGGGUCUUACUAUGGAUAUUACAUCUGAGAAAGUAAUUUCCCAAGAGCUUGCUCGGGAGUCACUUAUGGCAAUCUCCCAGUCUAUUCCAGAUAUGAUCCUCGCUUCAAAUCUGUUGCCUGAGAAGUCAGCUGUUACUGAUGUCUCUGACAUAAAAGAUCAUGGUGGAGCAGAAGACUAUCGGUCAAAGCUGAUCUCAAUUUCCUACAUGCAAGCUCCAGAUGUUCAACCUUCGACACCUUUAGCGGAAAACUUGAGUGGUUAGCCAGUAAAGUGUACCUACUUGCGAAUGGUUUCACUGUGAUGCCUGCAUGUCUUGUAUUUGGACUAGGCCUGAAUGUUUGUGCAAACUCUUAGCUUGCAAAGAGUAUUUUGUGAUUCUGGUUGCUCGUGGUGUACUCAAAUCCAAGUGUGGUGAGACGCCGGUGUACCAAAAAAAAGGAAAAAAGAAAAAGAAAAAGAGUAUUUUGUGAUAAGUACAUGAAUAUGUACAGUUACCAUAUCAUGUCACACUGAAACCUGAUCUGGAACAAUUAAAAUAAUAAAGAAAAGGUGUUUCUCCUUCAAACUAGUUUCA